CACUUGUGAUUAUCAUCUCUCCUCCUCCAAUCUCCUCUGACUUGACCGUCGGAGGGCCAUCACCACCCUGGUGGUGGUGCAAGGCUGUUUGCAGGUUCCUUGGCGGAAGGUGGAGCGCGACCAGCACCAACCAAGACAACUCAGGCGGAACCCCGUUCACACCGUCGUGUCAAUCGUUCUCGGUUUGGACCACCAGCAACAG
rnacentral:lncRNA from 1 species